rnacentral:lncRNA from 1 species
GUCCGUUAUUUUGUUCGUUUGUUGGUUCAUUUGUACAAUCGUCUGUCUGUAACUCUACCUCCGCCACACGCUUUUUAUACUUAAAUCUUUUUUUAAAAAUUAUCUAUUUAUAACCAAACGUCAUAGUGCAUCUUUUUUAUUUUUUUAUUUAGUUUGUAUUUGUGGUCUAGCAUUUUACAUAAAACAGUAAUUGAAAAUUUAAAAAAU